GCUAGUUUAAAGCCACGAACUCAUAAUUGGAAGACCGUUACAAUUUAACCUAAAAAUGAGUAAUCAUUGUUCAUAGUGAGACCAAUAUAAUAAUCAGCUAAUGCAAAUGAAGAAUUAAAACAAAAUGCAAUUACUUAUUUUAAGUACGCUAACCGCAAAAAGAGGUUGAGAACCUACAUAGAUGCAAGGGGCCCGCUUUUUCUUAUACUUGACCCC
rnacentral:lncRNA from 1 species